AAGAGCGAGCCUUUAUGGCGAGCAAUUAUAUCCAUAACACUGUGAACUGUUGGCCUUUUGGUCACAUUUUUUACAAACUCUUGUGUAAUGAACGUAUAAAACUAUAAUCAAUA
rnacentral:misc_RNA from 1 species